rnacentral:rRNA from 1 species
UGGCGAACGGGUGAGUAACGCGUGAGGAACCUGCCUCAAAGAGGGGGACAACAGUUGGAAACGACUGCUAAUACCGCAUAAGCCCACGACCCGGCAUCGGGUAGAGGGAAAAGGAGCAAUCCGCUUUGAGAUGGCCUCGCGUCCGAUUAGCUAGUUGGUGAGGUAACGGCCCACCAAGGCGACGAUUGGUAGCCGGACUGAGAGGUUGAACGGCCACAUUGGGACUGAGACACGGCCCAG